rnacentral:rRNA from 1 species
AAUAUUGCGCAAUGGGGGAAACCCUGACGCAGCGACGCCGCGUGAACGAUGAAGGCCUUCGGGUCGUAAAGUUCUGUCCUCAGGGAAGAAUAAAUGACGGUACCUGAGGAGGAAGCCCCGGCUAACUACGUGCCAGCAGCCGCGGUAAUACGAAGGGGGCUAGCGUUGUUCGGAAUUACUGGGCGUAAAGCGCGCGUAGGCGGACUUUUAAGUCAGGGGUGAAAUCCCGAGGCUCAACCUCGGAACAGCCUUUGAUACUGGAGGUCUCGAGUCCGAGAGAGGUGAGUGGAAUUCCGAGUGUAGAGGUGAAAUUCGUAGAUAUUCGGAGGAACACCAGUGGCGAAGGCGGCUCACUGGCUCGGUACUGACGCUGAGGUGCGAAAGCGUGGGGAGCAAAC